UCACUUCCCAGGAGGCUAUGGAAUAUGGUCUUAUUCAAAUGGAGGUUGUAAAAGUUCAAAAAGAAGACAAGCCCAGGCAUUCAAGGACCCUUGAAUCUGAAAGUGGGAAGUAAUACUUCUGCUUUGUGCUAUUAGCCAAAUGGAGUCAACAAACCAGCUCAGGAGUAAGGAAAGAAUCUCCAUUUCAUGAAAGACCUGCAUGGGGAAGAGAGAGGUCACAUGUCUAUAAUCCUGGCCACUUGUGAGGCUGAAGUAGGAGGAUCACCAGAGGCCAGUCUGGGCAAUUUAUGAGAUCUCAUCUCAAAAAAUAAAAGGACAGGGGUGUAGCUCAGUGGUAGAGUGCUCCCGGGUUCAAUCCCCAAUAUCUAAACGGUUGGGGAUAUAGCUGAAUUGGUAGAGUGCUUGCCUUGCAUGCACAAGGCCCUGGGUUCAAUCCUCAUACCACACACACACACACACACACACACACACACAGACACACAGCUGAAUCUCAAUAUCACAAAACAAGCAAAACAAAAAACAAAAAACCCUGUAGUCAUUCUGCAAAGGGCAUGGAUAUAAGGAAACAUGAAUAAUUCUGACCAUGUUUCCAAUCCAUUUGUAGAGAAACUAUUAGCAAGUUUCCUAGCAAGUUGCUCCUCUGAGUUUUUCCUUAAAGAUUCAAGAGAUUUUUUACUAUAUAAUUAUAAUAUUAGAAACAAAUCUGAUUCAUAUAGUUUCAAUCUGCUUGCAUUGUAAAUUUAUUCUUCUUUUUAUUUUUAUAUCUGUG
rnacentral:lncRNA from 1 species